rnacentral:lncRNA from 1 species
AGUAUCCAUGGGGAUCCAUAGGGGGUCUCCUCUACCCGUGAACCGUUAACAUUAAUAACCUGAUUCCAGGGCUGUCCCGUUCCCCGUUCGCUAUGGGCGCCAAAACCAUGAACCUCAAUACCCCAUCCGGUAUGAGGGUGAAACGGGCCGUCCCCAUACCCCAUCCGGUAUGGGCGCCAAAACACAUAAGGUCUCCAUAUCCUAUCCGGUAUGAGAGACCACGUUCCCGGUAGGGUUCCCUACGGACCCAGUCCGUCCACCAUCUCCCAAGAUAUCUAGUCAGGCUGUCCACAUUAUCCAUUUAUCAAUUCACAUAACAUUUUUGCCUUUUUCCUUGAUCUCAAUCAUCCAAUCAUACACAACAUGUAAACCAGUAAUUGACACCAAACAAGACAACACAGUAUUGGGUUCACCAUAAUACAAACCAUAAUAAAAGAAACUAUGAUUCAUGCAUACGAGACCAUAAAAUAAUUACAUCAAAUAUCAUACUGCAUUUAAUACUGAAAUUUAAAUCAAACAACAACAGACCAACACUGUAUCAGACUCGGGCUCCAUUGGCAACCUCAAU